CCCAAAGCAGUCCCCGAGGGUGGGAAAAGAACAGCCAUGCCACCGGUUGGGUAUACAGGUGCAGGAGAACCAUGUGACCCAACAGGAAAAAACACGGAAUGGGCAAGAGGUUCCAUAACGAGGAAGAAACCUCAGAAGAAGCAGGGAG